GAUGAAGAACGUAGCGAAAUGCGUUAAGUAGUGUGAAUUGCAGAAUUCAGUGAAUCAUCGAAUCUUUGAACGCACAUUGCGCCCUUUGGUAUUCCUUAGGGCAUGCCUGUUCGAGCGUCAUUUAAACCUUCAAGCUCAGCUUGGUGUUGGGUGACUGUCCGCUUCACCGCGGACUCGCCUCAAAAUUAUUGGCGGCCGGUACAUUGGCUUCGAGCGCAGCAGAAACGCGAACUCGGGCCCGUCGUAUUGGCUCCCAGAAGCUAUCUUCACAAUUUUGACCUCGGAUCAGGUAGGGAUACCCGCUGAACUUAAGCAUAUCAAUAAGCGGAGGA
rnacentral:misc_RNA from 1 species